AGAGUUUGAUCCUGGCUCAGGAUGAACGCUAGCUACAGGCUUAACACAUGCAAGUCGAGGGGAAACGACAUCGAAAGCUUGCUUUUGAUGGGCGUCGACCGGCGCACGGGUGAGUAACGCGUAUCCAACCUGCCCACCACUUGGGGAUAACCUUGCGAAAGUAAGACUAAUACCCAAUGAUAUCUCUAGAAGACAUCUGAAAGAGAUUAAAGAUUUAUCGGUGAUGGAUGGGGAUGCGUCUGAUUAGCUUGUUGGCGGGGUAACGGCCCACCAAGGCAACGAUCAGUAGGGGUUCUGAGAGGAAGGUCCCCCACAUUGGAACUGAGACACGGUCCAAACUCCUACGGGAGGCAGCAGUGAGGAAUAUUGGUCAAUGGACGAGAGUCUGAACCAGCCAAGUAGCGUGCAGGAUGACGGCCCUAUGGGUUGUAAACUGCUUUUAUAAGGGAAUAAAGUUAGUCUCGUGAGACUUUUUGCAUGUACCUUAUGAAUAAGGACCGGCUAAUUCCGUGCCAGCAGCCGCGGUAAUACGGAAGGUCCGGGCGUUAUCCGGAUUUAUUGGGUUUAAAGGGAGCGUAGGCCGGAGAUUAAGCGUGUUGUGAAAUGUAGACGCUCAACGUCUGCACUGCAGCGCGAACUGGUUUCCUUGAGUACGCACAAAGUGGGCGGAAUUCGUGGUGUAGCGGUGAAAUGCUUAGAUAUCACGAAGAACUCCGAUUGCGAAGGCAGCUCACUGGAGCGCAACUGACGCUGAAGCUCGAAAGUGCGGGUAUCGAACAGGAUUAGAUACCCUGGUAGUCCGCACGGUAAACGAUGGAUGCCCGCUGUUGGUCUGAAUAGGUCAGCGGCCAAGCGAAAGCAUUAAGCAUCCCACCUGGGGAGUACGCCGGCAACGGUGAAACUCAAAGGAAUUGACGGGGGCCCG
rnacentral:rRNA from 1 species